rnacentral:tRNA from 1 species
AAGGAAAACGGAAGCACGUUUGGGAUCUUUAUUUAGUUUUGAGAGGUCUUUGUGGGGCCUUAGCUCAGCUGGGAGAGCGCCUGCUUUGCACGCAGGAGGUCAGCGGUUCGAUCCCGCUAGGCUCCAUUAACAUCAGAAAGAUGUUAAGAUAGUCCAUUGAAAAUUGAAUAUCUAUAUCAAAUUCCACGAUUAUCGAAAGAUAAUUGUAGAAAGUAACAAGAAAAUAAACCGAAACGCUGUAAGUAUUUAAUGAGUUUAGAUCGUAAGAUCAAAAAU